UCUUGUCUUCAAGCGGUGCUCUGAAAUACUCAUUUCUUUGUACUAUCCUUGUUUGAAUUUGGAGGUCUCACAGUUUUAACAUCUAUGCUUUAACAACAAACAGUUGUAUCUGAAUUUCUUCUUCGUAUUUGGAUUUCCAAAAUCACUCUGACCUGAUAUACUCUGUUUGUCGAUGGAUAAAAAAGCCAUCUCUCACAAGAAAAGGCACGCCAAUGCAUUAUUAAUAAUAGGUGAUAUACAAACAACUCUCGUCAGACAAAAAAGCAAAGCAGCACUUUAUCUACAACUCCGGACAACAUAUCAACAAUUGAUCAGCACCAAAAUUCUCCUUGGUGGUUCUCUUACUCCACUACCUAAUGCUCAGCUUCAGUUCACUGUACAGAAAAGUAUUACUGUUAGAGACAUAUCGCUAACAAGUUUGCUAAAUAUACUGCAUAACUGCAUGAUGUUUUAUCUUUGACUUAGUGUAGUUCUGAUUUGCUGAUGGUUAUUACACCGUUGUUCGUGCUCUAGGCAACACCUCUUGCAUUGAUACUUGUACACUUGUAUUUGGCAAAGGAAAAGAUAUAAUUGGUUGACAAUCCAUCUUUGAAGUAACGACCGGGGAGCGGCUUCCCUAUAAGAAGGGGCUAGGAAACUGUCACAUCACGACCUGUAUAUAUAUAUCUUCUUCUUCUUGUUCUUUUUUUUUAAAAAACAAAAUUUGAAUUCAUUUCGAGUAAAUUUAUAUAUGGAAUUCAUCAAGUCGAUUUCAUAUCUAAAUUUUAGGACUGUUUAGAGGCGAUUUUGAGUUUAUCAAAAUCGAAUCUAUACGUAUAAUUAGUGUAUAUUUAUGUGUAGUCAAUGUAUAUUUCAUAUAUAAAUAAGCUAUAUUCACCUUUUGAGUGUAUUAUUGUAACUUGUAAGUGUAUAUUUUCUGUAACUUUUGAUUAGUUUUUAUGUAAAUAAAGACAAUUUUAUUUUUGUUAUAAA